rnacentral:rRNA from 1 species
GAUCAUGGCUCAGGAUGAACGCUGGCGGCGUGCCUAACACAUGCAAGUCGAGGGGCAGCAUAAUGGAUAGCAAUAUCUAUGGUGGCGACCGGCGCACGGGUGCGUAACGCGUAUGCAACCUACCUUUAACAGGGGGAUAACACUGAGAAAUUGGUACUAAUACCCCAUAAUAUCAUAGAAGGCAUCUUUUAUGGUUGAAAAUUCCGAUGGUUAGAGAUGGGCAUGCGUUG